rnacentral:rRNA from 1 species
CAGUAGCCGCGGUAACACAGAGGGUGCAAGCGUUAAUCGGAAUUACUGGGCGUAAAGCGCGCGUAGGUGGUUUGUUAAGUUGGAUGUGAAAGCCCCGGGCUCAACCUGGGAACUGCAUCCAAAACUGGCAAGCUAGAGUACGGUAGAGGGUGGUGGAAUUUCCUGUGUAGCGGUGAAAUGCGUAGAUAUAGGAAGGAACACCAGUGGCGAAGGCGACCACCUGGACUGAUACUGACACUGAGGUGCGAAAGCGUGGGGAGCAAACAGGAUUAGAUACCCCUGUAGUCCCUGUCUCUUAUAC